ACCUUAACCCAACAGCAAACCCAGGCCCAAUUCCUGACCUUUAACCCAACCCAUCAAUUUUUUCUCCUCCUUUGCGCGUGACCAGGAGAGUAUGCAGCCCAGGACCAGUCGCCAAUCCUGAUACCUCGUGAUGGUGCUCGACCCCAACAAGCUUGUACGAGCUUCGUGCAAAAGGAGCAGCAACAGAAGGCGGUACGAUUUUUCUCGUUGUCUUACUUAACCUCACUCUCAAGUCGUACGAUGUCCAGCAGUAGAGGAGGCACGUGAGAUCAUCCUUGAUAGCGCGAGAUCGAGCCACAGAGCUCCCCAAGGACGAGAGAUUGAUCUUAUACGUUCAUUCUCCCCUUCCAUUUUUGGAAAAAAGGGUAGAAGAUGCAGACAAAGCUGUUCCACCAAAAUUGGUGAUUCUUUUGAAUCUUCAAAGGGAAACUCGUAAUGGGUCUAGAUUUUAGACCCGAGUUCUCCCCACCCAUGAAAAAAUUGUAGCCCUAACCCUUGCUAUAUAAGGUCCCUUUCUAUUAUUGAAAUAGGGGGAAGAAAAAAAUUUCUGAAAAAAAAGGGUCGAAAACUUUAGAGUUAGAAAUUGAAGUUGGAAUUUCCUUCGAAUAUAAACACUUAGAACAACCUAAGCGAAAAUAAAUAGGACAUAUACAUAAAAAUACAUUCUGGUUUGUUUCAAAGUUUAAGUUGAUGUUUGGGUUUUUUGCUCUCUGCCUAUAUUUCAAACUUCGUGGUCAAGAAUAAGCUCUUUGCUUGUUUCUGGUCUCUGUUCGCCGCCCUAUUAAAGAAAUUAUCCAAAAGAUGCAACAUCCAACCAAAAGAAGUCGAUACACCGUAUGACUCUCAAUUUCUUUCUAAGUGGAGAAAUCCUUUAUAAGAGGACUGCAGAUUUGGGCCUCCUCAGAUGAGUUGAUGCUGCAAAGCUGAUUGAACAUACACACUCUGGAGUUUGCUGUACGCAUAUGAAUGGGCUCACUUUGGCGAGAAAGAUCCUUUGAGCCGGGUAUUUAUGGAUGACUAUGGAGAAUGAUUGUUGCAAGUUUGUGAGAAAAUGCCAUAAAUAUCAAGUGCACGGUAAUUUGAUCCCGUGCCACCUCACAAACUUAAUGCUAUGAGCUCACCUUGGCCAUUUGUAGCUUUGGGUAUGGAUGUCAUCGGUCCGGUAGAGCCAGUCGCUUCUAAUGGACACAUAUUUAUUUUGGUUGCCAUUGAUUAUUUCACCAAAUGGGUGGAAGCAUCUUUGUACAAGUCGGUAACCAUGAAAGUUGUGAUGGAUUUUUUUCGCAACAACUUGAUAUGCAGAUUUGGAGUACCAAAAUGGAUCAAUACUGAUAAUGGGGCAAAUAUUAAUAGUCACUUGAUGAGAGAUAUAUGUGAGCAAUUUAAGGUCACUCAUCGAAACUCAACCGCUUAGCGCCCUCAAAUGAAUAGAGCUGUAGAAGUCGCCAAUAAGAAUAUCAAGAAGAUGCUGAGAAAAAUAAUUGACAAUCACCGAGGUUGACAUGAGAUGUUGCCAUAUGAUUUAUUGGGUUAUCGGACGACUAUCAAAAUGUCGACUGGAGCUACUUUAUACUUGCUAGUGUAUGGGACAGAAGCAGUCAUACCUGUUGAAGUCGAAAUACUGUCUUUGAGAAUCAUCCAAGAAGAUGAGUUAACUAAUGCUAAAUGGGUCAGCAAGCGGAUUGAUCAACUAACUUUGAUUGAUGAGAAGAGAAUGCUUGCCGUUUGUCAUGGUCAGUUGUAUCGACAGAGGCUGAUUCGCGCUUUUCAUAAAAGCGUAUGAGCUAGAACUUUUGAAAUCGGUCAGUUAGUACUUAAGACCAUUUUUCCUCAUCAAGAUGAGUAUAAAGGAAAAUUCGCACCAAACUGUCAAGAACUUUGCAUGGUUCGUAAAGUAUUAUCUGGAGGUGCUUUGGUCCUGUCAGAGAUGGAUGGCACUACGUGGCCGAAACCAUUCAACUCAGAUGCUUUCAAGAGAAAAUAUGUGUAAAGUUUCAGCUUUUAUUCCUGUCAUUUACUUGUAAUUGUUCUAUUUUGCUAGUAUCUGUUUGGUUUAAAUUUUAUCCCUCUUGUGAUGAAGUACCUCUGACCUGAAUUCUCAGGAAUGAGAUACUUAGGUGGCCUUUGUCGGCCUCGGUCACCCCAUUUAUCCCUUUUUAAUAUUUCUUUGUAUUUGAACUACGUUCGACUUAAAUUCUCAAGAAUGAGAUACGUAGGCAGCUUAUGUGGGCCUUAAUCGGUUACUUUGUAAGUUUCUUA